UCUUCAACCUGCUAACUCUAUUCUCUUGAGCUUUCCAUUUUGCAUCCCUUUCUUAUCUAGAAGUUCAAGUCAAGCUAGCAUUGAGUUAAGAGUAAAUAAUAAGCACAGGUGAAAUGGCAAAAAUAUGUGGUGUUAGUUAAUAUCAUUCUCAAAUUCAAUCCUUCCAUAAUUCAUGUCUCAUACCAUACAAAUACUAAAAAUAUCCACUUCAUGCAGUUUCCUCCCAUUUUCUUAUGUUGACGAGGAAAUUUUCCAAGUCAACUAAACUGUUACACCAUUUUUUUAUUGAAAAACGGGGUCGACUUGGGUUUUGAAAAUGAAAAUGGGAGUCGCCACCAAUCUUUUUUAUAAGGUGUUAUUGGAUCACCUUGCAAAGCGUUGUUUUUAAUAAACAAUUUAAUUUUAUUAAAACAACGAUUUUGGUCCACGAAAUUCAGAAAAAACGGGUUCGGGAGUCGGUUACGCACGAGGAAGGAUUAGCACCCUCGAUACGCCCAAAAUUGGUACUUAGUUGAUUACUUAAAAUUUUUUUAUUUUUGUUUUUUGGCAAAUGUAUACUGUUUUUUUUAUAUAUAUGUAAAUAUAUGUAUAUAUAUAAAUAUAAAAAGAACAGAUGCAAAAAAAGAGAUGUGAAAAAGAAACCUUGAAACUUGUUUUUUUUAUUUCUUUUAAAGUUCUUGUACCAAAAUCUAAAAAAAAAAAAAAAAAACCCUAAAAUACAUUUUUCGUUGGCUUUUAUAGCCCAUCUUUGCUACCGUUUCUUGUCUUUUCUUCUUUGAUUUUGCAGGUGCAAGUGAUGGGACAGUGGCGGUGGCACUAGGUCGGCGACCAGCAGGGCAGCACCUAGGGUUUGAAAAAUUUUAAUUUUUUGUUUCUGAUUUGGGUUUCUGGGCUAGGGUUAGAUUUGGGCUUAUUAAGCUUUUUGUUUUCUGAUUUGGGCUGUGGUGUAUUGGGCUAGGCUAGUUGGAUCUGGGGCUGUUUGGUUAGGGUAAUGGGUUGUUUGUAAUUGGGCCCCGGGUCAAAAAUUGGGCCCUACAUAAACUGUUCAGUAAAUAAAAGAUUAAUGAUGCGGUCGGUCUUAUUAAAUCGUUUCAAGAUUUUUUUUAGUGGCAAUUACUAAUUACAAGUGGAAACACGAAAGGAAACUCAAGGUAGCAAAUACAAGACAACCUUGAGUUUGAGUUGGUAUGCACGAUAUUGCCGAGAUAUUACAUGAAGGGUACUAAAAUUAUUCAAAAAAAAAUGUUUCUUUUUGGGACAAUCAAAUAUUAGUUUUCAGCUUUAAAUACUUGUAAUCAAUAAUAAAUCCCUCGGAGGUUUUGCAG
rnacentral:lncRNA from 1 species